ACUCCUACGGGAGGCAGCAGUAGGGAACUCUUCCACAAUGGGCGCAAGCCUGAUGGAGCAACACCGCGUGAGUGAAGAAGGGUUUCGGCUCGUAAAGCUCUGUUGUUAAAGAAGAACACGUAUGAGAGUAACCUGUUCAUACGUUGACGGUAUUUAACCAGAAAGUCACGGCUAACUACGUGCCAGCAGCCGCGGUAAUACGUAGGUGGCAAGCGUUAUCCGGAUUUAUUGGGCGUAAAGAGAGUGCAGGCGGUUUUUCUAAGUCUGAUGUGAAAGCCUUCGGCUUAACCGGAGAAGUGCAUGGAAACUAGGAUAAACUUGAGUGCAGAAGAGGGUAGUGGAACUCCAUGUGUAGCGGUGGAAUGCGUAGAUAUAU
rnacentral:rRNA from 1 species